GACGAACGCUGGCGGCGUGCCUAAUACAUGCAAGUCGAGCGAGCUGAACCAACAGAUUCACUUCGGUGAUGACGUUGGGAACGCGAGCGGCGGAUGGGUGAGUAACACGUGGGGAACCUGCCCCAUAGUCUGGGAUACCACUUGGAAACAGGUGCUAAUACCGGAUAAGAAAGCAGAUCGCAUGAUCAGCUUAUAAAAGGCGGCGUAAGCUGUCGCUAUGGGAUGGCCCCGCGGUGCAUUAGCUAGUUGGUAGGGUAACGGCCUACCAAGGCAAUGAUGCAUAGCCGAGUUGAGAGACUGAUCGGCCACAUUGGGACUGAGACACGGCCCAAACUCCUACGGGAGGCAGCAGUAGGGAAUCUUCCACAAUGGACGAAAGUCUGAUGGAGCAACGCCGCGUGAGUGAAGAAGGUUUUCGGAUCGUAAAGCUCUGUUGUUGGUGAAGAAGGAUAGAGGUAGUAACUGGCCUUUAUUUGACGGUAACCAAACCAGAAAGUCACGGCUAACUACGUGCCAGCAGCCGCGGUAAUACGUAGGUGGCAAGCGUUGUCCGGAUUUAUUGGGCGUAAAGCGAGCGCAGGCGGAAGAAUAAGUCUGAUGUGAAAGCCCUCGGCUUAACCGAGGAACUGCAUCGGAAACUGUUUUUUCUUGAGUGCAGAAGAGGAGAGUGGAACUCCAUGUGUAGCGGUGGAAUGCGUAGAUAUAUGGGAAGAACACCAGUGGCGGAAGGCGGCUCUCUGGUCUGCAACUGACGCUGAGGCUCGAAAGCAUGGGUAGCGAACAGGAUUAGAUACCCUGGUAGUCCCAUGCCGUAAACGAUGGAGUGCUAAGUGUUGGGAGGUUUCCCGCCUCUCAGUGCUGCAGCUAACGCAUUAAGCACUCCCCGCCUGGGGAGUACGACCGCAAGGUUGAAACUCAAAGGAAAUUGACGGGGGCCCGCACAAAGCGGUGGAGCAUGUGGUUUAAAUUUCGAAGCAACGCGAAGAACCCUUACCAGGGUCUUGACAUCCUAGUGCAAUCCGUAGAGAUACGGAGUUCCCUUUCGGGGGACACUUAAAACAGGUGGUGCAUGGGUGUCCUCGUGUCGCGAGAUGUUUGGGGUCAAGUCCCCGCAACCGAGCGCCAACCCCUUGUGGCAUUGUGCUAAGGAAAAAGCUUAGGGACUUAUGCCAUGCUCGGUGGACAAACCCGGGAGAAGGGCGGGGGAUUGACGUUCAAAUCUUAUGGCCCCCUUAUGGCUGGGCUACACUACUAAAUUGGGCGGGCC
rnacentral:rRNA from 1 species